GGAAGGGAUGUAUUUAUUAGAUAAAAAACCAAUGCCCUUCGGGGCUCCUUGGUGAUUCAUGAUAACUUAACGAAUCGCAUGGCCUUGUGCCGGCGAUGGUUCAUUCAAAUUUCUGCCCUAUCAACUUUCGAUGGUAGGAUAGUGGCCUACCAUGGUUUCAACGGGUAACGGGGAAUUAGGGUUCUAUUCCGGAGAGGGAGCCUGAGAAACGGCUACCACAUCCAAGGAAGGCAGCAGGCGCGCAAAUUACCCAAUCCCGACACGGGGAGGUAGUGACAAUAAAUACUGAUACAGGGCUCUUUUGGGUCUUGUAAUUGGAAUGAGUACAAUUUAAAUCCCUUAACGAGGAACAAUUGGAGGGCAAGUCUGGUGCCAGCAGCCGCGGUAAUUCCAGCUCCAAUAGCGUAUAUUAAAGUUGUUGCAGUUAAAAAGCUCGUAGUUGAACCUUGGGCCUGGUUGGUCGGUCCGCCUCGCGGCGUGCACUGAUCCGACCGGGCCUUUCCUUCUGGGGAACCGCAUGCCCUUCAUUGGGUGUGUUGGGGAACCAGGACUUUUAC
rnacentral:rRNA from 1 species